AAGCUCUGGUUCUCCUUCAAAAUUGGUACUAAUCUUUCGCCUUUUACUAAAGAUUACCGUGGAGGAGAAUAACUGAAUGAGUUUAGGAACGAAUUUUUCGCUGUCCUGCCUUUCGGCGGGG
rnacentral:snRNA from 1 species